rnacentral:rRNA from 1 species
UGGGGAAUAUUGGACAAUGGGCGCAAGCCUGAUCCAGCCAUGCCGCGUGUGUGAAGAAGGCCUUCGGGUUGUAAAGCACUUUUGUCCGGAAAGAAAACCUUUCGAUUAAUACUCGGAGGGAAUGACGGUACCGGAAGAAUAAGCACCGGCUAACUUCGUGCCAGCAGCCGCGGUAAUACGAAGGGUGCAAGCGUUACUCGGAAUUACUGGGCGUAAAGCGUGCGUAGGUGGUUUGUUAAGUCUGAUGUGAAAGCCCUGGGCUCAACCUGGGAACUGCAUUGGAAACUGGCUUACUAGAGUGCGGUAGAGGGUAGUGGAAUUCCCGGUGUAGCAGUGAAAUGCGUAGAUAUCGGGAGGAACAUCUGUGGCGAAGGCGACUACCUGGACCAGCACUGACACUGAGGCACGAAAGCGUGGGGAGCAAACA